rnacentral:sRNA from 1 species
GCUGGGCAUGGUGGUGUGCACCUGUAAUCCCAGUAACUCAGGAGGCUGAGGCCGGAGGAUCAUGAGUUCAAAGCCAGCCUCAGCAAGAGUGAGGCACUAAGCAACUCAGGGAGACCCAGUCUCUAAAUAAAAUACAAAAUAGAGCUGGGGAUUUGGCUCAGUGGUCGUGUGGCCCUGAGUUCAAUCCCUAGGACAAAAAAAGAAAAAAAAAAAAGCAGGGGAGGAGCAAUCUCACUGAGUUGCUUAAGGACUCGCUAAUUUGUAAUUUGCUGAGCCUGGCUUUGAACUCAUGAUCCUCCUGCUUCAG